rnacentral:lncRNA from 1 species
AGACGAAACCACUUGGGUCUUUAUUAAUAUCAGAAAUGCACCCCGGAGGACCACCAGGACACGACCACCCACCGGGCCCACAACAUCCCCCGCACCACCCCCCACAUCAUCCGCCGCAUCACCCACCAGGUCCGUCACCCACAGGACCUCCUGGCCCUGAACCUCGCUAAAUUAAUGAUAGGUCACGGGUACUGCCCCCCACCACCUGGCCCCCAGUUUCACCCGCCGCCACCUGGACCUCACUUUCACCCGCCGCACGCGCACGGUCCACACCACCCACCACCUCCACAUAGACGAUGACCUAUCAUUUCCACAAUAUUAUUUUUUUAUACAUAUUUAUGAAAGAUGUAAAUAACCGUUGACUGUAGUAAAAAUAAUCUACUAAGUAUAA